rnacentral:rRNA from 1 species
UGAGUAACGCGUGGGAAGCUACCUUGUGGUAGGGGACAACAGUUUGAAAAGACUGCUAAUACCCUAUGAGCCCUAUGGGGGAAAGAUUUAUCGCCAUGAGAUGUGCCCGCGUUAGAUUAGCUAGUUGGUAAGGUAAUGGCUUACCAAGGCGACGAUCUAUAGCUGGUCUGAGAGGAUGAUCAGCCACACUGGGACUGAGACACGGCCCAGACUCCUACGGGAGGCAGCAGUGGGGAAUAUUGGACAAUGGGGGCAACCCUGAUCCAGCCAUGCCGCGUGUGUGAUGACGGCCUUAGGGUUGUAAAGCACUUUCAGCAGUGAAGAUAAUGACAUUAACUGCAGAAGAAGCCCCGGCUAACUUCGUGCCAGCAGCCGCGGUAAUACGAAGGGGGCUAGCGUUGUUCGGAAUCACUGGGCGUAAAGAGUACGUAGGCGGACUGAUAAGUUAGGGGUGAAAUCCCAAGGCUCAACCUUGGAACUGCCUUUGAUACUGUCAGUCUUGAGAUCGAGAGAGGUGAGUGG